rnacentral:tRNA from 1 species
GUUUUGAUAGUUUAAUUAGAAUUUAACUUUGAAGAGGUUAGGGUGAGGGUAUUCUCAAAACA